rnacentral:rRNA from 1 species
UACAGAGGGGGCAAGCGUUAUUCGGAAUUAUUGGGCGUAAAGGGCGCGUAGGCGGCCAUUCAAGUGACGGGUGAAAGCCCUCGGCUUAACCGAGGAACUGCCUGUCAGACUGGAUGGCUUGAGACCGGGAGAGGUGAGUGGAAUUCCCAGUGUAGCGGUGAAAUGCGUAGAUAUUGGGAGGAACACCAGUGGCGAAGGCGGCUCACUGGACCGGAACUGACGCUGAGGCGUGAAAGCGUGGGGAGCAAACAGG